rnacentral:rRNA from 1 species
GACGAACGCUGGCGGCGUGCUUAACACAUGCAAGUCGAACGGAAAGGCCCUGCUUUUGUGGGGUGCUCGAGUGGCGAACGGGUGAGUAACACGUGAGUAACCUGCCCUUGACUUUGGGAUAACUUCAGGAAACUGGGGCUAAUACCGGAUAGGAGCUCCUGCUGCAUGGUGGGGGUUGGAAAGCUUCGGCGGUUGGGGAUGGACUCGCGGCUUAUCAGCUUGUUGGUGGGGUAGUGGCUUACCAAGGCUUUGACGGGUAGCCGGCCUGAGAGGGUGACCGGCCACAUUGGGACUGAGAUAAGGCCCAGACUCCUACGGGAGGCAGCAGUGGGGAAUAUUGCACAAUGGGCGGAAGCCUGAUGCAGCAACGCCGCGUGCGGGAUGACGGCCUUCGGGUUGUAAACCGCUUUCGCCUGUGACGAAGCGUGAGUGACGGUAAUGGGUAAAGAAGCACCGGCUAACUACGUG